rnacentral:rRNA from 1 species
AAGCAACGCGAAGAACCUUACCAGGUCUUGACAUCCCUCUGACCGGUCUAGAGAUAGACCUUUCCUUCGGGACAGAGGAGACAGGUGGUGCAUGGUUGUCGUCAGCUCGUGUCGUGAGAUGUUGGGUUAAGUCCCGCAACGAGCGCAACCCUUAUGCUUAGUUGCCAGCAGGUCAAGCUGGGCACUCUAAGCAGACUGCCGGUGACAAACCGGAGGAAGGUGGGGAUGACGUCAAAUCAUCAUGCCCCUUAUGACCUGGGCUACACACGUACUACAAUGGCCGGUACAACGGGAAGCGAAGCCGCGAGGUGGAGCCAAUCCUAGAAAAGCCGGUCUCAGUUCGGAUUGUAGGCUGCAACUCGCCUACAUGAAGUCGGAAUUGCUAGUAAUCGCGGAUCAGCAUGCCGCGGUGAAUACGUUCCCGGGUCUUGUACACACCGCCCGUCACACCACGAGAGUUUACAACACCCGAAGUCGGUGAGGUAACCGCAAGGGGCCAGCCGCCGAAGGUGGGGUAGAUGAUUGGGG